GAUUUCUGGCUUGAAACAUUUGGCCGGCCACGGUUUCGUGUGUUAGUGCUUUGUGUUCUGGCCAUCCUUCCAAUCGCAAUUGGCUAUUCUUCAUUGAUUGGUCAGUUGUAUUGGAUCUUUUACUUUGAAAAAAUUAGAGUGUUUCAAGCAGGCUUUAUGCUAUGAAUACAUUAGCAUGGAAUAAUAAUUUAGGACUUUUGUUCUAUUUUGUUGGUUUCUAGAAUGGAAGUAAUGAUUGAUAGGGAUAGUUGGGGGUGCUAGUAUUCAGUGGCCAGAGGUGAAAUUCUCGGAUUCACUGAAGACUAACUUAUGCGAAAGCAUU
rnacentral:rRNA from 1 species